UUUCCGUAGGUGAACCUGCGGAAGGAUCAUUAUUGGAUUUUGAAACUUCAGGCUGCUGCUGGCUCUCCUCGGAGGGCAUGUGCACGCUUGUUGUCCAUUAUUUCCCCCACUGUGCACAAAUUGUAGACCUUUCAGUAGGCCUAUGUUGUUUUUCACAAUCUCUGAAUGUAAUAGAAUGGUUUUGAAUCUUGGGAAAUACAAUACAACUUUCAGCAACGGAUCUCUUGGCUCUC
rnacentral:misc_RNA from 1 species